rnacentral:rRNA from 1 species
AUGUAUUUUGUUGUUAUUGACGAUAUAUGGGAUGUGGAUACAUGGCAUGUUAUUAAGCUUGCAUUUCCCGUGACUAGUUCUGGAAGUAUCAUAAUCACCACUACCCGUAUAAAUGAAGUUGCUGAAUCAUGCCGUUCAACACCAUUCAGUGGGGAUAUUUAUUGCAUCAGGCCUCUUAAAAUGGUGCACUCUAGGCACUUAUUUUACACAAGACUAUUCAAUGCCCAAGAAAAUUGUCCCUCAUACCUUAAAACAGUUUCUGAGCAUAUUUUGGAAAAAUGUGCUGGGUUGCCUUUGGCAAUCAUUGCUAUAUCCGGUUUGUUGGCUAAUAUUGAAAGGACAGAAGGUCCAUGGAAACAAGUUGAAGAUUCGAUUGGUAGAGCACUUGAAAGAAAUCCCAGUGUUGAAGGAAUGAUGAAGAUACUAUCACUUAGUUACUUUGAACUGCCCGCAUAUCUGAAAUCUUGUCUCUUAUGUUUGAGUAUAUUCCCUGAAGAUUCUGUUAUUAAGAAGAAAGUUCUGAUAAAUAGGUGGAUUGCUGAAAGAUUAAUUCAUACAGAAUCAGGAUAUAGUACUUCAUAUGAGUUUGGAGAAAGGUGUUUUAAUGAGCUAAUCAAUAGGAGUUUGAUCCAACCCGUGAAGACAGGCAGAUACGAUAGGGUCAAGAGUUGUCGACUUCAUGACACAAUUCUUGAUUUCAUCAUAUCCAGAUCCAUCGAAGAAAACUUUGUUACUUUGGUGGGUGUUCCCAGUUUAUCUGUUGGGACACACAACAAAGUUCGUCGGCUCUCCCUGCAAGCCAGCAAGCAAAAAGAACUAAUAGUGCCAAGAGGCUUGGUGUUGUCUCAUGUCCGAUCACUUGAUGUGUUUGGGGAAUCUGUGAAAAUUCCUUCUAUGGAUAAGUUCAGGCAUUUGCGUUUUCUGGACAUUAGAGGUUGCCAACAGCUGGAGAACCAUCAUCUUGAAAAUAUAGGGAUGUUGUUUCAGCUGAGGUACCUGAGCCUCCUAGGAGUGGAGGAAGUAAGUAAGCUCCCGGAACAAAUCGGACAUCUAUGGUGCUUAGAGAUACUGGAGUUAAGAGGCACCUCUGUUUGUGAGUUACCAACAUCUAUUGCCAAGCUCAAGAGACUGGUGCACCUAUUUGUCAACUGCGACGUUACACUUCCAUGUGGAAUUUCCAAGCUGCAAGCACUGGAGAAACUGAAGCUUGUCAGUGUCUACAGCCAGUCAUUUAACUUCCUGCAAGAAUUUGAGCAGCAGCAGAGUCUGAAGGUAUUGGCCCUUGAUUUUGAGUAUUUCCUUGAUUUUGAGGGUUUUAGUUCUGCUGACCAAGUGAACGCUGAAAAUAAGUCCAAGAAAACUAUUAUUGUUGCUUCCCUUAAAAACCUAGGGAACCUUCUCUCUCUAACUGUUUGUGACGGCCCUGAAUUUGUAAGGGAGUCUUUGUGCCCUAUGCCACUUAGGCUCCAGGAGCUGAAAAUCUUCCGUUCUAAUAUUCUUCAUGUUCCAAAUUGGGUGGGCUCCCUUGUCAACCUCCAGGAGUUACGCCUUGAUCUGGUCAGAGUUGAGCAGAAAGAUUUCUAUAUCCUUGGAGGCUUACCUGUUCUGCGUUGUCUGAUUCUGAGAAUUGAUGGAGCGGAAAUUAGAAAUACCUCAUUAACAGAAGAGCCUGAAGUUAUAAGGGUCAUAGUCUGUGGUGAAGUUGGAUUCCCAUGCUUGAGGAUAUUUAUUUUUGAUAGUCAGUGUGCUGUGAUGAAUUUGACCUUUGCGGCUGGAGCCAUGCCCUUGGUAGAUGACCUCUUGAUAGUAUUUAACGCAGAAGAAACUGGGUCUCCCGGUACCAGCGGUGAUUUUGAUCUCGGAAUAGAAAAUCUUCCCAGCCUCAUUAAAAUCAGAUGUAUAUUAUGGGGUAACAGGAACAAUAGAAGCAGAGCUGAGGCUGCAGAAGCUGCCAUUCGGGAAGCGGCCAACGCACAUCCGAACCGCCCUACUCUAUACUUGGUCUGA